rnacentral:tRNA from 1 species
GGCUCGAUGGUCUAGUCGAAUGAUUCCUGCUUUGGGUGCAGGAGUUCCCGGGUUCAAUUCCCGGUCGAGCCC